AAUAUCAAUUUUUUAAAUCACUUGCUUUUUAAAAUGUAAUUUCAUAAAUCAUGCAUAAUUCAAAGAUUGAUUAUUUAUUUUCAAAAUAAAUUAUGAAAUAUCUUGAAAAGAUAAUUCAUUAUUUACUUUUCGUAGAACAUUGAACGAACAGAUCGAUUAACCUUCAAAAUCUAUUAUUCAAAAUUAUAUUUUUAUAUUAAUUUUAAUUCAAAACU
rnacentral:lncRNA from 1 species